rnacentral:rRNA from 1 species
UGCAAGUCGAACGCAGUAGCAAUACUGAGUGGCAGACGGGUGAGUAUAAUGUGGGAAUCUGCCUUUUGGUUUGGAAUAACACGGGGAAACUUGUGCUAAUACCGAAUAAGCCCUUACGGGGAAAGUUUUAACGCCGAAAGAUGAGCCUGCACUUGAUUAGCUAGUUGGUAAGGUAAAAGCUUACCAAGGCAACGAUCAAUAGCUGUUCUUAGAGGAAGACCAGCCACAUUGGGACUGAGACACGGCCCAGACUCCUACGGGAGGCAGCAGUGGGGAAUCUUGCACAAUGGGGGAAACCCUGAUGCAGCGAUGCCGCGUGAGUGAAGAAGGCCUUUGGGUUGUAAAACUCUUUCGUCGGGGAAGAAAAUGACUGUACCCGAAUAAGAAGGUCCGGCUAACUUCGUGCCAGCAGCCGCGGUAAUACGAAGGGACCUAGCGUAGUUCGGAAUUACUGGGCUUAAAGAGCUCGUAGGUGGUUAAAAAAGUUGAUGGUGAAAUCCCAAGGCUCAACCUUGGAACUGCCAUCAAAACUUUUUAGCUAGAGUGUGAUAGAGGUAAGUGGAAUUUCUAGUGUAGAGGUGAAAUUCGUAGAUAUUAGAAAGAACACCAAAUGCGAAGGCAACUUACUGGGUCACUACUGACACUGAGGAGCGAAAGCAUGGGUAGCGAAGAGGAUUAGAUACCCUCGUAGUCCAUGCCGUAAACGAUGUGUGCUAGACGUUGGAAAUAUAUUUUUCAGUGUCGCAGCGAAAGCAUUAAGCACACCGCCUGGGGAGUACGACCGCAAGGUUAAAACUCAAAU